UAAUAUCGAAAAGGUGAAUUUUAAUAAUAGGUUUGAAAAUUCCAAAAGCAGAAUAAAUAGACGGCAGUUUUUUGCGGUUUUUUGCGGUUUUUAAUUAAAGUGUAGUAAUUACACUGUAUAGUUGUAUAAUAUAAACAAAAAGCUCUAUUAGUAGAACAAAAAAUAUUGAA